rnacentral:rRNA from 1 species
UACGUAGGUGGCAAGCGUUGUCCGGAAUUACUGGGUGUAAAGGGUGCGCAGGCGGGAUUGCAAGUUGGAUGUGAAAUACCGGGGCUUAACCCCGGAGCUGCAUCCAAAACUGUAGUUCUUGAGUGGAGUAGAGGUAAGCGGAAUUCCGAGUGUAGCGGUGAAAUGCGUAGAUAUUCGGAGGAACACCAGUGGCGAAGGCGGCUUACUGGGCUCUAACUGACGCUGAGGCACGAAAGCAUGGGUAGCAAACAGGAUUAGAUACCCUGGUAGUCCGGGACGACU